CUUUAGAGUUUGAUUCCUGGCUCAGAUUGAACGCUGGCGGCAGGCUUAACACAUGCAAGUCGAGCGGAGUGAUGGUGCUUGCACUAUCACUUAGCGGCGGACGGGUGAGUAAUGCUUAGGAAUCUGCCUAUUAGUGGGGGACAACAUCUCGAAAGGGAUGCUAAUACCGCAUACGUCCUACGGGAGAAAGCAGGGGAUCACUUGUGACCUUGCGCUAAUAGAUGAGCCUAAGUCGGAUUAGCUAGUUGGUGGGGUAAAGGCCUACCAAGGCGACGAUCUGUAGCGGGUCUGAGAGGAUGAUCCGCCACACUGGGACUGAGACACGGCCCAGACUCCUACGGGAGGCAGCAGUGGGGAAUAUUGGACAAUGGGGGGAACCCUGAUCCAGCCAUGCCGCGUGUGUGAAGAAGGCCUUAUGGUUGUAAAGCACUUUAAGCGAGGAGGAGGCUCUUUUGGUUAAUACCCAGAAUGAGUGGACGUUACUCGCAGAAUAAGCACCGGCUAACUCUGUGCCAGCAGCCGCGGUAAUACAGAGGGUGCAAGCGUUAAUCGGAUUUACUGGGCGUAAAGCGCGCGUAGGCGGCCAAUUAAGUCAAAUGUGAAAUCCCCGAGCUUAACUUGGGAAUUGCAUUCGAUACUGGUUGGCUAGAGUGUGGGAGAGGAUGGUAGAAUUCCAGGUGUAGCGGUGAAAUGCGUAGAGAUCUGGAGGAAUACCGAUGGCGAAGGCAGCCAUCUGGCCUAACACUGACGCUGAGGUGCGAAAGCAUGGGGAGCAAACAGGAUUAGAUACCCUGGUAGUCCAUGCCGUAAACGAUGUCUACUAGCCGUUGGGGCCUUUGAGGCUUUAGUGGCGCAGCUAACGCGAUAAGUAGACCGCCUGGGAGUAGAGCUUAUUU
rnacentral:rRNA from 1 species